rnacentral:rRNA from 1 species
UGGGGAAUAUUGGACAAUGGGGGAAACCCUGAUCCAGCAAUGCCGCGUGAGUGAAGAAGGCCUUAGGGUUGUAAAGCUCUUUCGCCCGCGAAGAUAAUGACGGUACCAGAGGAAUAAGCACCGGCUAACUCCGUGCCAGCAGCCGCGGUAAUACGGAGGGUGCGAGCGUUAUCCGGAUUUACUGGGUUUAAAGGGUGCGUAGGUGGGCUUAUAAGUCAGUGGUGAAAUCUCCGAGCUUAACUUGGAAACUGCCGUUGAUACUAUAGGUCUUGAAUUAUCUGGAGGUAAGCGGAAUAUGUCAUGUAGCGGUGAAAUGCUUAGAUAUGACAUAGAACACCAAUUGCGAAGGCAGCUUACUACAUAUAAAUUGACGCUGAGGCACGAAAGCGUGGGGAUCAAACA